CUUGAAACACGGACCAAGGAGUUUAUCGUGUACGCGAGUCAUUGGGUGUUUAAAACCCAAAGGCGUAAUGAAAGUAAAGAGUAGAAAUUUGUUAAUAAAGUAAAAUUUUUUUUAUCUUUUUUCACAAUCUCUCUUAAGGGAAGAUGAAAAUAGUACAUACAUUUAUUGUUUGUAAAUAUUUUCCGCACUCCCAGGGCGCUUGUAUUUCGCUUUGCGAAUUGAUGCGCACCUAGAGCGUACACGAUGAUACCCGAAAGAUGGUGAACUAUGCCUGGCCAGGACAAAGCCAGGGGAAACCCUGGUGGAGGUCCGCAGCGAUUCUGACGUGCAAAUCGAUCGUCGGAGCUGGGUAUAGGGGCGAAAGACCAAUCGAACCAUCUAGUAGCUGGUUCCCUCUGAAGUUUCCCUCAGGAUA
rnacentral:rRNA from 1 species